AAAGCCCCUUGAUAAAUGUGAUUACUAACUGUACAUUUAAAAGUAUUUCUGCUAAAUUGAAAAGGUUGAAUCUCCUCGUGACUGGAUGUUUGUGUACAGCGCGCAGCCUUGAUGCGCUCCACUUUUUUCUGUGGAGAACCAGCGCCUUGAACACUUACUACAGCGUUUCUACAGCUCGAUGCGGUUUCACUAUGACUCCGUCUUUCAAAGAUGUUCCUGAACCGCAUAAAACGAAACCGGAUCGUUUUCGGCCGUUUCGGCUCCAUGUGGACGGGGCCCUAAUCCCCUCUCCAACCUUACACACAUCACAUUUACAUUCACAUUAACAUAAAAUUCAUUCCCCUGAACAUAAUCUCUUUUAUUCCUUCUAUCUUUAGUGCUAUGUUGUGAGUCGUACUUCCUGUCUCAGUGGGGUGUUUUGGCUCUGCUCUCAGCUGGAGGAGGGGGGGCAUAUUCACGGCUUAGCAGAACUCAACCCCCGCCCUUCUGAAGCGCUGUCAGUCAGGAGGCCAGCAGGCGGCCAUCUUGAUUCUAAACAGCAGCUGAAGCAGCAGCUACUGCUCCGAGAUGGAUCCAAGAUGGCAGCCAGGGGAAAAAGACCUUUAGGGGUUCUAACGGGGGCGGUGCUGGUGGUGGAGCUGAAUGAUGGGAGCUACUGGGCCCUGCUGGGGUGCCACACACUCACAUACAUGCACACACAUACACACACACACACGCACGCACAUAAACACACACAUACACACACACACAUACGCACAGACGCACGCACACACACACGUAUGCACACGAACACACAUGCAUGCACACGCACCCACGCUAGCAACACACACGCACACUAUAUUCAUGGAGAUGCUACGGGAACUGAAGGAUAUACACAAUCACCUCCAUUUACACACACACACACUCACACACACACACACACACACACACACACACACACACACACACACACACACACACACACAGCCCUCAUGGAGUUGGGAUAGUAAAGGACACACAAAACAAUUCUGCUGCUACUACCGAAACUAGAGGACACGCACACUGCUGUAAAUGUGCACAACAAACAACUCUGAAGUUCUCCAGGGCAAAAAUGUGUAGCUGCUCCUGGGACUUAGGGACUACUACAGGCUUACACCAGACAUAGGGACUACUACAGGCUAACACCAGACAUAGGGCCUACUACAGGGUAACACCAGACAUAGGGACUACUGCAAGCUUACACCAGACAUAGGGACUACUACAGGCUUACCCCAGACAUAGGGCCUACUACAGGCUUACCCCAGACAUAGGGCCUACUACAGGCUUACCCCAGACAUAGGGCCUACUACAGGCUUACCCCAGUAAUAGGGCCUACUACAGGCUUACACCAGACAUAGGGCCUACUACAGGCUUACCCCAGACAUAGGGCCUACUACAGGCUUACCCCAGACAUAGGGCCUACUACAGGCUUACCCCAGACAUAGGGCCUACUACAGGCUUACCCCAGACAUAGGGCCUACUACAGGCUUACCCCAGACAUAGGGCCUACUACAGGCUUACCCCAGACAUAGGGCCUACUACAGGCUUACACCAGACAUAGGGCCUACUACAGGCUUACACCAGACAUAGGGCCUACUACAGGCUUACCCCAGACAUAGGGCCUACUACAGGCUUACACCAGACAUAGGGCCUACUACAGGCUUACACCAGACAUAGGGCCUACUACAGGCUUACCCCAGACAUAGGGCCUACUACAGGCUUACCCCAGACAUAGGGCCUACUACAGGCUGGCGGUGCAGCGGCAGGGUGGAGGUGGAGUUGGUGUUAAUGUCUCUUUAACACCCGGAUGCACCCUUGGGUGUAGCCGUCUGUGCAACCGGUGCCGCCCAUCUGUCCAUCCGUGCACUCUCCUCCCCAGCACGUGCACUCUCCCGGUACGUGCACGCUCCCAGGUGGAUCGCUUCCUCUCCUCAGGCUCUGGGAUGUAAAUGAAAAUCCGAGCAUGAUGGAACACACACAGAGCCAGAACAGCGGAGUGUCCUGCGUUGACCUGCUCGGCUUGGCCUGGAUGGCCCUGGUCGUCACAGUAACGGUGGAACUGACGUGAAGACGCCCACCCCCCCCCCCUCCCCGCUAUCGCGGUCACACUCCAACUCAAUCACCAGACACACACACACGCACACACACGGACACGCAUACACAUACACGCUCACAUAAACUGUUCCCAUCAGUUACGCAAACAUACUGUACGGUCACACUCACCCCUCUGAUCCCUGUACAAUCAGUGUAAACACACACACACACACACACACACACACACACACAUGCACACUCACUCUUCCAGUUUAGCCCUUCCCCUUUCUCACAUACACACACUCACAGACGUGAACAAACACAUACUCACAGAAGCGAACCACUACCGCACGCGCACACACACACACACACACACACACACACACACACACGUACACACACACACACACACGUACACACAUAUACACACAAACACGGCCACACACACCCAUCCUCUGAAGCCUUCUCCCGGUCCCCUGCUGUCGCGCCAUGCGUCCGUCUGUCCGGAGACUGUCCCGCCACAAGGUGGCGCCUCGCUGUUUUUGUAACAAGAAAAAAUAAAAUUGAAUAACCGCGACACGAUCCGGAAACAGGACACGACGGCGAAGACGUUUUUUCGGAAACAAACCCCUUCUCUGUCGCCCCCGCCCCAAC
ensembl:lncRNA